rnacentral:rRNA from 1 species
UACGGAGGGUGCAAGCGUUAAUCGGAAUUACUGGGCGUAAAGCGUGCGCAGGCGGUCUGUUAAGUCUGUUGUGAAAUCCCCGAGCUCAACUUGGGAAUUGCAAUGGAUACUGGCAGGCUGGAGUAUGGUAGAGGAAGGUGGAAUUCCCGGUGUAGCAGUGAAAUGCGUAGAGAUCGGGAGGAACACCAGUGGCGAAGGCGGCCUUCUGGACCAAUACUGACGCUCAUGCACGAAAGCGUGGGGAGCAAACAGG